UACGUAGGGUGCGAGCGUUAAUCGGAAUUACUGGGCGUAAAGCGUGCGCAGGCGGCUUCGCAAGUCAGGCGUGAAAUCCCCGGGCUUAACCUGGGAAUGGCAUCUGAAACUACGGAGCUGGAGUGUGGCAGAGGGAGGUAGAAUUCCACGUGUAGCAGUGAAAUGCGUAGAUAUGCGGAGGAACACCGAUGGCGAAGGCAAUCCCCUGGACCUGUACUGACGCUCAUGCACGAAAGCGUGGGGAGCAAACAGG
rnacentral:rRNA from 1 species